AGUGAACGCUGGCGGCGUGCCUAAUACAUGCAAGUCGAACGGAGUGGCGCACGGGUGAGUAAUAUAUAGCUAAUCUGCCUCUUGCUGGAGGACAACAGUUAGAAAUGACUGGUAAUACUCCAUAGCAAGGGAUGAGACUAUAUCGUAUCAGCUAGUCGGUGGGGUAACGGCCGACCGAGGCUAUGACGCGUAACUGGUCUGAGAGGAUGAUCAGUCACAUUGGAACGGAGACACGGUCCAGACUCCUACGGGAGGCAGCAGUAGGGAAUAUUGCGCAAUGGGGGAGACCCUGACGCAGCAACGCGGCGUGGAGGAUGACAUUUUUCGGAGCGUAAACUCCUUUUUUUAGGGAAGCGGUACCUAACGAAGAAGCACCGGCUAACUCCGUGCCAGCAGCCGCGGUAAUUC
rnacentral:rRNA from 1 species